rnacentral:rRNA from 1 species
UUAAGUUAGAAAGGGCGCACGGUGGAUGCCUUGACACUAGGAGUCGAUGAAGGACGGGACUAACGCCGAUAUGCUUCGGGGAGCUGUAAGUAAGCUUUGAUCCGAAGAUUUCCGAAUGGGGAAACCCACCAUACGUAAUGGUAUGGUAUCCUUAUCUGAAUACAUAGGAUAAGGAAGACAGACCCAGGGAACUGAAACAUCUAAGUACCUGGAGGAAGAGAAAGCAAAUGCGAUUUCCUGAGUAGCGGCGAGCGAAACGGAACAUAGCCCAAACCAAGAGGCUUGCCUCUUGGGGUUGUAGGACAUUCUAUACGGAGUUACAAAGGAACGAGGUAGACGAAGCGACCUGGAAAGGUCCGUCGUAGAGGGUAACAACCCCGUAGUCGAAACUUCGUUCUCUCUUGAAUGUAUCCUGAGUACGGCGGAACACGUGAAAUUCCGUCGGAAUCUGGGAGGACCAUCUCCCAAGGCUAAAUACUCCCUAGUGAUCGAUAGUGAACCAGUACCGUGAGGGAAAGGUGAAAAGCACCCCGGAAGGGGAGUGAAAGAGAUCCUGAAACCGUGUGCCUACAAAUAGUCAGAGCCCGUUAACGGGUGAUGGCGUGCCUUUUGUAGAAUGAACCGGCGAGUUACGAUCCCGUGCGAGGUUAAGCUGAAGAGGCGGAGCCGCAGCGAAAGCGAGUCUGAAUAGGGCGUUUAGUACGUGGUCGUAGACCCGAAACCAGGUGAUCUACCCAUGUCCAGGGUGAAGUUCAGGUAACACUGAAUGGAGGCCCGAACCCACGCACGUUGAAAAGUGCGGGGAUGAGGUGUGGGUAGCGGGAGAAAUUCCAAUCGAACCUGGAGAUAGCUGGUUCUCCCCGAAAUAGCUUUAGGGCUAGCCUUAAGUGUAAGAGUCUUGGAGGUAGAGCACUGAUUGGACUAGGGGUCCUCAUCGGAUUACCGAAUUCAGUCAAACUCCGAAUGCCAAUGACUUAUCCUUAGGAGUCAGACUGCGAGUGAUAAGAUCCGUAGUCAAAAGGGAAACAGCCCAGACCGCCAGCUAAGGUCCCAAAGUGUGUAUUAAGUGGAAAAGGAUGUGGAGUUGCUUAGACAACUAGGAUGUUGGCUUAGAAGCAGCCACCAUUUAAAGAGUGCGUAAUAGCUCACUAGUCGAGUGACUCUGCGCCGAAAAUGUACCGGGGCUAAAUACACCACCGAAGCUGCGGAUUGAUACCAAUGGUAUCAGUGGUAGGGGAGCGUUCUAAGGACAGUGAAGUCAGACCGGAAGGACUGGUGGAGUGCUUAGAAGUGAGAAUGCCGGUAUGAGUAGCGAAAGACGGGUGAGAAUCCCGUCCACCGAAUGCCUAAGGUUUCCUGAGGAAGGCUCGUCCGCUCAGGGUUAGUCAGGACCUAAGCCGAGGCCGACAGGCGUAGGCGAUGGACAACAGGUUGAUAUUCCUGUACCACCUCUUUAUCGUUUGAGCAAUGGAGGGACGCAGAAGGAUAGAAGAAGCGUGCGAUUGGUUGUGCACGUCCAAGCAGUUAGGCUGAUAAGUAGGCAAAUCCGCUUAUCGUGAAGGCUGAGCUGUGAUGGGGAAGCUCCUUAUGGAGCGAAGUCUUUGAUUCCCCGCUGCCAAGAAAAGCUUCUAGCGAGAUAAAAGGUGCCUGUACCGCAAACCGACACAGGUAGGCGAGGAGAGAAUCCUAAGGUGUGCGAGAGAACUCUGGUUAAGGAACUCGGCAAAAUGACCCCGUAACUUCGGGAGAAGGGGUGCUUUCUUAACGGAAAGCCGCAGUGAAUAGGCCCAAGCGACUGUUUAGCAAAAACACAGCUCUCUGCGAAGCCGUAAGGCGAAGUAUAGGGGGUGACACCUGCCCGGUGCUGGAAGGUUAAGGAGAGGGGUUAGCGUAAGCGAAGCUCUGAACUGAAGCCCCAGUAAACGGCGGCCGUAACUAUAACGGUCCUAAGGUAGCGAAAUUCCUUGUCGGGUAAGUUCCGACCCGCACGAAAGGUGUAACGAUUUGGGCACUGUCUCAACCAGAGACUCGGUGAAAUUAUAGUACCUGUGAAGAUGCAGGUUACCCGCGACAGGACGGAAAGACCCCGUGGAGCUUUACUGUAGCCUGAUAUUGAAUUUUGGUACAGUUUGUACAGGAUAGGCGGGAGCCUUUGAAACCGGAGCGCUAGCUUCGGUGGAGGCGCUGGUGGGAUACCGCCCUGACUGUAUUGAAAUUCUAACCUACGGGUCUUAUCGACCCGGGAGACAGUGUCAGGUGGGCAGUUUGACUGGGGCGGUCGCCUCCUAAAGUGUAACGGAGGCGCCCAAAGGUUCCCUCAGAAUGGUUGGAAAUCAUUCGUAGAGUGCAAAGGCAUAAGGGAGCUUGACUGCGAGACCUACAAGUCGAGCAGGGACGAAAGUCGGGCUUAGUGAUCCGGUGGUUCCGCAUGGAAGGGCCAUCGCUCAACGGAUAAAAGCUACCCCGGGGAUAACAGGCUUAUCUCCCCCAAGAGUCCACAUCGACGGGGAGGUUUGGCACCUCGAUGUCGGCUCAUCGCAUCCUGGGGCUGUAGUCGGUCCCAAGGGUUGGGCUGUUCGCCCAUUAAAGCGGUACGCGAGCUGGGUUCAGAACGUCGUGAGACAGUUCGGUCCCUAUCCGUCGUGGGCGUAGGAAAUUUGAGAGGAGCUGUCCUUAGUACGAGAGGACCGGGAUGGACGCACCGCUGGUGUACCAGUUGUUCUGCCAAGGGCAUAGCUGGGUAGCUAUGUGCGGAAGGGAUAAGUGCUGAAAGCAUCUAAGCAUGAAGCCCCCCUCAAGAUGAGAUUUCCCAUAGCGUAAGCUAGUAAGAUCCCUGAAAGAUGAUCAGGUUGAUAGGUUCGAGGUGGAAGCAUGGUGACAUGUGGAGCUGACGAAUACUAAUAGAUCGAGGACUUAACCAU